rnacentral:rRNA from 1 species
GCGGCACGCCUAACACAUGCAAGUCGAACGAAGUAGCAAUACUUAGUGGCAGACGGGUGAGUAACAUGUAGGUAUCUACCCUUUGGCCUGGAAUAACACGAGGAAACUUGUGCUAAUACCGGAUAAGUCUUUACGGAGUAAGCUUUAUGCACCAUUGGAUGAGCCUGCACUUGAUUAGUUUGUUGGUGGGGUAAUGGCCUACCAAGACUGUGAUCAAUAGCUGAUUUGAGAGGAUGAUCAGCCACAUUGGGACUGAGACACGGCCCAAACUCCUACGGGAGGCAGCAGUGGGGAAUCUUGCACAAUGGAGGAAACUCUGAUGCAGCGAUGCCGCGUGAGUGAAGAAGGCCCUUGGGUUGUAAAGCUCUUUCGUCGGGGAAGAAAAUGACUGUACCCGAAUAAGAAGGUCCGGCUAACUUCGUGCCAGCAGCCGCGGUAAUACGAAGGGACCUAGCGUAGUUCGGAAUUACUGGGCUUAAAGAGUUCGUAGGUGGUUGAAAAAGUUGGUGGUGAAAUCCCAGAGCUUAACUCUGGAACUGCCAUCAAAACUUUUCAGCUAGAGUAUGAUAGAGGAAAGCAGAAUUUCUAGUGUAGAGGUGAAAUUCGUAGAUAUUAGAAAGAAUACCAAUUGCGAAGGCAGCUUUCUGGAUCAUUACUGACACUGAGGAACGAAAGCAUGGGUAGCGAAGAGGAUUAGAUACCCUCGUAGUCCAUGCCGUAAACGAUGUGUGUUAGACGUUGGAAAUUUAUUUUCAGUGUCGCAGCGAAAGCGAUAAACACACCGCCUGGGGAGUACGACCGCAAGGUUAAAACUCAAAUGAAUUGACGGGGACCCGCACAAGUAGUGGAGCAUGUGGUUUAAUUCGAAGAUACGCGCAGAACCUUACCAACACUUGACAUGUUCGUCGCGACUCUAAGAGAUUAGAGUUUUCGGUUCGGCCGGACGAAACACAGGUGCUGCAUGGCUGUCGUCAGCUCGUGUCGUGAGAUGUUGGGUUAAGUCCCGCAACGAGCGCAACCCUCACUUUUAGUUGCCAUCAUUUAGUUGGGCACUCUGAAAGAACUGCCAGUGAUAAGCUGGAGGAAGGUGGGGAUGACGUCAAGUCCUCAUGGCCCUUACGUGUUGGGCUACACACGUGCUACAAUGGUAUCUACAACAGGAAGCAAGACUGCGAAGUUAAGCAAAUCCUUAAAAGAUACCUCAGUUCGGAUUGCACUCUGCAACUCGAGUGCAUGAAGCUGGAAUUACUAGUAAUCGUGGAUCAGCGUGCCACGGUGAAUGCGUUCCCGGGUCUUGUACACACCGCCCGUCACACCAUGGGAGUUGGUUCUACCUUAAG